rnacentral:rRNA from 1 species
UACGUAGGGUGCGAGCGUUAAUCGGAAUUACUGGGCGUAAAGCGUGCGCAGGCGGUUCGUUGUGUCUGAUGUGAAAGCCCCGGGCUCAACUUGGGAACGGCAUUGGAAACUGGCGAGCUAGAGUGUGGCAGAGGGGGGGGGAAUUCCGCGUGUAGCAGUGAAAUGCGUAGAUAUCGGUAGGAACACCAGUGGCGAAGGCGGUCUCCUGGGGCAUUCUUGACGCUGAGGCGCGAAAGCUGGGGGAGCAAACGGG